rnacentral:lncRNA from 1 species
GGUUGUGAUUUACAUGUACUAGUAAUAGCAUUUUUAUUUUGACUUUCUUUGCAUUUUAUUGAAGGGUGUGUCACUUCAAUAUAGCGUGAUAUGGAUUGGCCGCUGGAAUAUGCAUGAAUUUAUUAUUAACGUUUUCAAUCAGCCUCAAUUUUUGUGUCUGUUCAAAGUAGCACGUUCUCAAAUCCGACUGAAAAAGUGUCUUUCUAAUACAACACAGGGUACCGGUAAAAUAAAUAUAAACUGUACAUCUGUCCAGUGCAUAUAACGUGUUGUCAUUCUCAUAUGCAAAUGAUAUUUGUCACUGGACG